AUGUCCUUGUUCGCCAUUCAGCACGAAAGGCAGGGCACUCCCCCGAGCCAUACGAUCCACCACCGCCUCCACCACCAAAUCCGCCCUCUACCAAGCAAAUUUUACGCAUGUUUACGGAAAUAA
rnacentral:rRNA from 1 species